rnacentral:rRNA from 1 species
GACGAACGCUGGCGGCGUGCCUAAUACAUGCAAGUCGAACGCAGUGGGGACGGGUGAGUAACACGUGGGUAACCUCCCAUCAGAGGGGAUAACACUUGGAAACAGGUGCUAAACCGAUACUGUUGGCUGGACCCGCGGUGCAUUAGCUAGUUGGUGGGGUAACGGCUCACCAAGGCCACGAUGCAUAGCUGGCCUGAGAGGGUGACCGGCCACACUGGAACUGAGACACGGCCCAGACUCCUACGGGAGGCAGCAGUAGGGAAUCUUCGGCAAUGGACGAAAGCCUGACGGAGCAAUGCCGCGUGAGUGAAGAAGGUUUUCGGGUCGUAAAGCACUGUUGGCAGGGAGGCGGUACCUAAACAGAAAGCCACGGCUAACUACGUGCCAGCAGCCGCGGUAAUAC